CUUUCUGGUAGGACGGAAAGAGGACAUCUUAGGAUGUGCUGGUCUCUUUGGCACCAGACUGCUAACUCUUUUUCGUUCUGCCACCAUA
rnacentral:antisense_RNA from 1 species